rnacentral:rRNA from 1 species
UCAGACGAUGCGUCAUGCAUAUCAAUAAGCGGAGGAAAAGGGCAUGCUUAAGGGCGUUGUCACUUCGGUCACCUUCCUGGGCGUUCACUAUGAGAUCAUCGUUGACAUCAACGGCUUCAAGUGGAUGAUCCAGACCACCGAUUUCGUUGACGUUGACGAGCAUAUCGGUCUGAGCAUCGAUCCCGACGCCAUCCACAUCAUGCGCAAGUCCGAAUACUCCGGCAUGUACGGCGACUACUCAUCCUUCUCCAACGAAUUCGAUGAGCUCAGCGACGCGGAAGGUGAGGAAGAGGAAUGAAGAAAAAAAGCUCCGGCGGAAGCACCGUGCUGCAGAAGCUCGUGCUUGCCCCGUAUUCGGUAUGGUCGGUGCUGUUCAUAGUCGUGCCGCUUGUUUUUGUUGCAUACUAUGCCUUUACCGAUUCCAACUUUAAUUUCACCUUUGAAAACAUCAGCCGCUUUUUCACCGCCACAUCCGUCGGCGCCGACGGCACGGUAUCCCGCACCUAUCUUCUUAUCUUUGUCCGCUCGCUCAAGCUUGCCGUGAUCUCUACGGCAGUAUGCCUUAUUCUGGGCUACCCGAUGGCUUACAUCAUGAGCAAGGCACCCGCCCGCACCCAGAGCAUACUGCUUACGCUGAUCAUGAUACCGAUGUGGAUGAACUUCCUUAUCCGUACCUACGCUUAGGAUGUUGAGCGCAUGUCUCUCUCU